CGCGUAGGCGGUCUCUUAAGUCAGAUGUGAAAGCCCGGGGCUUAACCUCGGAAGUGCAUUUGAAACUAAGGGACUUGAGUAUGGGAGAGGGAAGUGGAAUUCCUGGUGUAGCGGUGAAAUGCGUAGAUAUCAGGAGGAACACCGGUGGCGAAGGCGACUUCCUGGACCAAUACUGACGCUGAGGCGCGAAAGCGUGGGGAGCAAACAGGAUUAGAUACCCUGGUAGUCC
rnacentral:rRNA from 1 species